rnacentral:rRNA from 1 species
CAAGGAAUUUUCCCCAAUGGGCUCACGCCUGAGGGAGCAACGCCGCGUGCAGGACGACGGCCUUCGGGUUGUAAACUGCUUUUGGGGGGGACGAUGAUGACGGUACCCCUCGAAUAAGCCCCGGCUAACUCCGUGCCAGCAGCCGCGGUAAGACGGAGGGGGCAAGCGUUGUCCGGAAUCACUGGGCGUAAAGCGUCCGUAGGCGGCUUCGUGCGUCGGUGCUGAAAGCGCCCCGCUUAACGGGGUGAGGCGUGCCGAUACGACGAGGCUUGAGGCAGGCAGAGGGUGGCGGAAUUCCGGGUGUAGUGGUGAAAUGCGUAGAGAUCCGGAGGAACGCCUGUGGCGCAAGCGGCCACCUGGGCCUGACCUGACGCUGAGGGACGAAAGCGUGGGGAGCAAA